rnacentral:lncRNA from 1 species
CUUUGGUUGCUAACUUAGACAAGGCACUUAACAAAAAUAUUGCUUCUUAAAUGAAAAAUUACCUAUUAAGUCAUCCCAUCUCCAUUUGCAAAGUAAAGAUUUGUCAGUACAAAGUAUGUGGGAUGACCAGAAGUCACGGAUGACUUACAUGGAAGUGGCAAGGGUAGAAAAGAGAGCUGACUUUAGAGAGAUCAAGAAUAGCUUGCUGGAUGGAAGGAGGUAAGAAAUGGGACUGCCAAUGUUUUACUGAUCUGAUCUGUAUAAUAAUUUCAUGUAGAUAAUUAAAUGAGGUAAAGUAUGGGAAAAGUGUUUUGAAAAUUCUCAAAUCCUCUGCUACUAUUGAUUACUGCAGCUUCUGAAACGGCAGGCUCUGUGAUGCAAUAGAUCUGAAAUCAAUGUUUGCCAAGUUAGAGUAAGUCAAAUUAAAGAGUAGUUGGUCAGUUGCAAGCAGUAAGUGGAA